rnacentral:rRNA from 1 species
UACGUAGGUGGCAAGCGUUGUCCGGAUUUAUUGGGCGUAAAGAGCUCGUAGGCGGUUUGUCGCGUCUUCCGUGAAAACUGGGGGCUUAACUUCCAGCUUGCGGUGGAUACGGGCUGACUGGAGUGCGGCAGGGGAGACUGGAAUUCCUGGUGUAGCGGUGAAAUGCGCAGAUAUCAGGAGGAACACCGGUGGCGAAGGCGGGUCUCUGGGCCUUACCUGACGCUGAGGAGCGAAAGCUGGGGGAGCGAACAGG